rnacentral:rRNA from 1 species
CACGUAGUUAGCCGGGGCUUCUUAGUCAGGUACCGUCAUUUUCUUCCCUGCUGAUAGAGCUUUACAUACCGAAAUACUUCUUCACUCACGCGGCGUCGCUGGAUCAGGGUUCCCCCCCAUUGUCCAAUAUUCCCCACUGCUGCCUCCCGUAGGAGUUUGGGCCGUGUCUCAGUCCCAAUGUGGCCGUUCACCCUCUCAGGCCGGCUACUGAUCGUCGCCUUGGUGGGCCGUUACCCCGCCAACCAGCUAAUCAGACGCGGGUCCAUCCUGUACCACCGGAGUUUUUCACACUGUAUCAUGCGAUACUGUGCGCUUAUGCGGUAUUAGCACCUAUUUCUAAGUGUUAUCCCCCUGUACAGGGCAGGUUCCCCACGCGUUACUCACCCGUCCGCCACUAAGAUGCCAACAUUUCCACUCUCAGCAAGCUAAUCGCUUCAAAAAUGGCAUCCCCGUUCGACUUGCAUGUGUUAAGCACGCCGCCAGCGUUCAUCCUGAGCCAGGAUC